GUCUACGGCCAUACCACCCUGAACACGCCUGAUCUCGGAAGCUAAGCAGGGUCGGGCCUGGUUAGUACUUGGAUGGGAGACCUCCUGGGACUACUGGGUGCUGUAGGCU
rnacentral:rRNA from 1 species